AGAGAAGGAAAAAUAAUAAUCAGCAUGUGUAAUGAUUUUAUUAUGGCAUUGAUAUGUUGAGUCUCAAGUUAGUGUAGGAGUGUAAGUCUUUUUGUAUAUCUCCAAUAAGGAAUCAAUAAAUUAGAGUAGGAGUGUAGGUGUUUUUGUAGGACUCCAAGAAUGGUUUAAGAAAUUAAAGCAUGAGUGUAGGUCUUUUUGUAAGACUUUAAGAAGGAAUUAAGAAAUUAGGGUAAGAUGUUUGUCCUUUUAUAAGAAUCUAAGAAGAAACUAAGAAAUUAAAGAGGAGUGUUGAUCCUUUUUUAAAACUUGAAGAAGGAACUAGGAAAUUAGAGCAAGAGUGUAGACCCUUGUAUAAGACUUCAAGAAGUAAUAAGGAAAUUAGAGAGGAGUGUAGGUCUUUUUGUAAGACU
rnacentral:misc_RNA from 1 species